rnacentral:ncRNA from 1 species
GAGAUAGAGGUGCAUUUGACAAGAGUAAAUAUUUUGAUGUUGCAGUGACAGAUGAUAAAUAUUGAAAGGGGAAAAUGCCGAAGGAAAUUUUUACUGUGAAAAAUUUUCUGGUUGCUGUGUUAAUAGCACUGUGACUGUCAUUGGUAAUUCCGAUGGAGAACUAAUGGAGAGCUAUC